CACUUCCAAGAUUAGGUCAGAAAAAGCCAGACAGCUUCCAGCUGGUUCUCUUGGAACCCUUGCUCUUGGAAUGCUUGCUCUUGGAAUAUUCCCUCUUGGAACCCAUCAGCCAUGCUGUGAGAAGCCCAAGCCACAUGGAAAGGCCACAUAUAGGGGCCCUCGUCAACAGCCCCGUGAGCCUGGCAUUGAGCAGCCCAGCUCAGAAGCCAGACAAGUGAGUGAAGAAGCCAUCUUGGAAGUGAAUCCCCAGCCCCUGCAGUUCCAGUCUUUCCAGCUGAGGCCACAGACACCAUGGAGCAGAGACAGCCAGCCCUACCAAAUUCUCGACCCACAGAAUCUGUCAGACUAACACCCACCAGAUCUCCUGGGGGAGGCCUGAACUAUGGAAAAAGCUGGUGGCCUGGCCUAGCCAUGUUUUCUCACCAUCCCAAGCCCAGGAUGUGCUGCCCCUGGACCGCAGGCUUCCCUGGUGAGGCACCAGCACGUGUGGGCACCCAGGUGUGUUUGCCGUGAAGUGUCUGUGAAGGUCUCCACAUGGAGGAGUGCAAGAGAUGUAAUCAAUUUGAGAUGAUGUCAUUAGGGUGUGCCCUAAUCCAACAUGCCUGGUGCUCUUACACAAAGAGGAGAAGAGAUACAGACAGACAGAGGAGACCACCAUGUGAAGACGGAAGCAGGGAUUAGAGUGAUGCAUCCACGAGCCAAGCCAGGGACCACCAAGGAGUGCUGGUGACGCCAGAAGCUAGGAGGAAGACGUGGACAGACUGUCCCCUAGAGCCUGCAGAGGGAGCCUGGCUCUGCCAACACCUGGAUUUCGGACUUGCAGCCUCCAGAACUGGGAGAGAACAAGUUUCUGUUGCUGUGGGCUUCUGUUCCAUCACUUUACAGAUGGGCAUCUCCAAGGUCACCAAGGACCUCUGAUGACCUCCAGCAUGCAACGCCAGGCCACAAGUUUGUCCUUGUUGUUCUCAGCAUCUCACCAGGUUGACCUAGGACCUCUCCCUUCUCCUUAAACACGGGCAUCUCACCCCAGCCUUCAGUCACUGCUCCCUCCCACCUUCAUCGCUGGCUCCUAUGUAGUAGGAGCUGCCAUCCUUUAGCUAAGCUCUUUCCCUGGAUGGCUGAGGCAUUAAGGAUGAUGUGCGAGCCAAGAGCUCCCAGAUGAAAAUGCCCAGCGCUGACCUCUUCCCUGGGCUCCAUAUUUGUACUUCCCUCCUGUUGAUUUUACCUUCCAACAUGCUCGAGCCAGCACAUACCAUUGCCUCAACUCAGCAACCUUGAGGGCUCACUUGGACACCUGCCACAGCGUCCCUACUUGUCUCCUUGCUUCCACUCCUGCCAGAAUGAUUGUUUCAGAAAACACAACUCGGAUUAUGUUACUCUCCUGCCCUAUACCCUCCACUGGCUUUCCAGUGCUCUUAAAAUGUAAGUGAAAUAAAAUUCCAAGUCCUUACCUUAGCUUCCAGAGUUGUAGAUGCUCAGGUCCACCUGCCUUCUGGGCUAACCUCCUGCCAUCAUAGCCCAUCAAGGGCACAGUGAUGGGAGCGGUCAGCCCUGGGUUCUGGCAAUAAGAGGAUGCACUGGCCACAGAACAUUUAAAAAAUAGUGGUAAAACCCACUUAGUCUACUUUUCAUUAUUGUCAUGAGCCAGCAAUUCCAAACUAUUUCAGUGAUAAAAUACUCCUUCCCUGAAAAAAAGCAUUUGUUGGUCUGAGUCCUGAACAACUGCUGGAAGUAUGUAGAGUUUUAAUAAUAUGUAGGAAGUUUUAAAUGAGCACAUUUUUAUUGCUUAUCCUUUAAUAAACGUUGUAUUUUACAUGGAAGUUUACAUGCGUUUCUCCCAGAAACAGCAGUCAGGGCUGACUGAGUCACACUGAUUCCAAGACAGAAUUUGUAACAGUUCAGGAUAUUCAUCCUCUCUUUGGACACAGUGUGCAGCCAAUCCAAG
ensembl:lncRNA